rnacentral:rRNA from 1 species
CGUACACUCCUGCGGGAGGCAGCAGUGGGGAAUUUUGGACAAUGGGCGAAAGCCUGAUCCAGCCAUGCCGCGUGCAGGAUGAAGGCCUUCGGGUUGUAAACUGCUUUUGUACGGAACGAAACGGCCUUUUCUAAUAAAGAGGGCUAAUGACGGUACCGUAAGAAUAAGCACCGGCUAACUACGUGCCAGCAGCCGCGGUAAUACGUAGGGUGCAAGCGUUAAUCGGAAUUACUGGGCGUAAAGCGUGCGCAGGUGGUUAUGUAAGACAGUUGUGAAAUCCCCGGGCUCAACCUGGGAACUGCAUCUGUGACUGCAUAGCUAGAGUACGGUAGAGGGGGAUGGAAUUCCGCGUGUAGCAGUGAAAUGCGUAGAUAUGCGGAGGAACACCGAUGGCGAAGGCAAUCCCCUGGACCUGUACUGACGCUCAUGCACGAAAGCGUGGGGAGCAAACAGGAUUAGAAACCCCGGUAGUCCCAUGA